CCCUUAGAUGUUAUGGGCUGCACGCGUGCUACACUGAUAUUGCCAAUAUGUCAUUCUUAUCCGAAAUGGAUUGGGUAAUCAAGUAAUGAAAUUUCAUGCUUGGAAUCGGUAAUUGCAAUUUUAUCGUGAACGAGGAAUUCCUAGUAAGCACUAGUCAUCAGCUAAUGUUGAUUAUGUCCCUGCCCUUUGUACACACCGCCCGUCGCUACUACUGAUUGGGUGUUCAAGUGAGAUGCUUAGACCCUUGUUGCAUGGUUCAUUAUUGUGCUCCGAAAGGAAAAAGUUUCAAGCUUGAGUGUCUAGAGGAAGUAAAAGUCGUAACA
rnacentral:rRNA from 1 species